rnacentral:rRNA from 1 species
GUCCUAUUGUAUUAUUUAAUAGGUCUGGCCUGCCCAGUGAUAAUUUUAACGGCCGCGGUAUAUUGACCGUGCAAAGGUAGCAUAAUCAUUAGUCUUUUAAUAGGAGGCUGGAAUGAAAGGUUUAACGAGAAAUUGACUGUCUCAAUUACAAACUUGAAUUUAUCUUUUGAGUCAAAAGACUUAAAUUUAAUUGAUGGACGAGAAGACCCUAUAGAGCUUGACAGUUUUGUUUUUAUAUUUACUUAGUUUAUUAUUAUUUAUUUAUACUAAUAAAAUUGUUUUGUUGGGGUGACAAUAAAUAUAUAUUUAACUUUUAUCAUAAUAUAAACAUUAAUUUAUGAUUUUUGGAUCCAAAAAUUUUGAUCAUUAGAUUAAGUUACC